UAAUGUUUUUCUAUUACAGGAUUUCUGGGCGGAUGUGUGAAGAAACGGUGUUUAUGGGUUAGGAGUUGGGGAUGCUAUUACACUGUAUUCUGGUGAGAGUGUUGGGGGAGACACACCCUGUCUUGACAACUGUGAUUCUUUUACAGGAAAUGUUUUAUAGCACCUAUGGAAUGAGGAUGCCUGACUACGGUCAAUGUGCUGCUAAUGUUUGCUUUGCUUUGGUGAGAGGGGUGCAGUAGAAAACAGACAAGUGACAUGAAAACAAGUAAUAAUAACAAAUAACAAAUUUGGGGACAGUUUGACCUAGAGCCCACUAACUGGCCAUUAGGGGCUCUCGCGCUCUCUCUCUCUCUCUCUCUCUCUCUCUCUCUCUCUCUCUCUCUCUCUCUCUCUCGCUCUCUCUCUCGCUCUCUCUCUCUCUCUCUCUCUCUCUCUCUCUCUCUCUCUCUCUCUCUCUCUCUCUCUCUCUCUCUCUCUCUCAGGUUGUUGCUCUUUAACUCCUAGAACACGCCCUUGGCGAGGUGGGGGGAACUGGACCACCUUUCUGUGCCCCAUCAUCCUCUAUUAGACGACAUCCAAGCUAAGUAAACAUGUCUUGGCCCUUUCCCCCUGAAAUGACAGGCAGGCAAAGAUGUUGCGUAUUUGUUUGCUUCCUGGCCCUGGGUCUCAUUCCCAUUGGCAUAAUCCUGAUCUGUGAAGGGCCCCCGACACUUAUGACACCUUCAAGUUCAAAAGCUUCGCCCCCUUCUGACAGUCCCAAUCUGACAAAUGUAGCCCCUAGGGUCUUGCCCACCACUUCCUCUCCAGUUUUACCAUAUUCACUUUUGAAUGUCCUUAGCAGUUACCGUUCUGAGUUUAUUUUACGGUUGAUUUAUUCUUUCACAUUUUCACGUUUAUAUCUCUCAUUAUUAUAGUAUACUCUGUACUCUCCACAUUUUUAUCAUUACUUAUGCUUUUUGGUUGCUGAGUUACAGGAACUGUUAAUUUUGUGUCACUACCCUGGUUGCACUAACUCGUUGUACCCUUGUGUGCAGGACAGCUGGUACUGCUUUCAUCGGGAACCGAGACUGCUUGCAGCCGACCCCUGGGCAGGGUGGUGCCUGGACUCUUUUCUCCUCAUCUGCAAUGACAGAUAAAGACAAAUGAAAAGACCCGAGGAGUUUUUCGAGCCAGGCUUCGACACGUCUCUGUGUUCCUUUGAUUGUUACUUAUUUUUGUGUGUUGACCCAUUUAAGAUGGGUCAAAAGGGGGAUUUGAAGAAAAUAUUGUUCAGCUUUAAACAUUAUUCAGCUUUAAAUAUUGUUCAGCUUUAAACAUUAUUCAGCUUUAAAUAUUGUUCAGCUUUAAACAUUAUUCAGCUUUAAAUAUUGUUCAGCUUUAAACAUUAUUCAGCUUUAAAUAUUGUUCAGCUUUAAAGUUACUGUGCAACUGUGUAAUAAAAAUGUGCUCACGACUUUGGCCUUGAGAGCGAUAAGAAGCGAUCGCCUCAUCCUGCAGGUGAAAGAUAUCUGCAAGCGAAGAGACUAGAACACCCAAGGCCGAUUUCCUUUUAUGGAGUUGUUUUUCUGCUAAUGCAGCACUUUCCUCACAACCCCCUCCUCAGGUGUCCGGUUGUCUUCAUUCUCCGCCAGCCUGGUUAAGUCAAUUCCUCCUUAACAUCUAAAAGAACCUAUU
ensembl:lncRNA